GACGAACGCUGGCGGCGUGCUUAACACAUGCAAGUCGAACGGUAAGGCCCUUCGGGGUACACGAGUGGCGAACGGGUGAGUAACACGUGGGUGAUCUGCCCUGCACUUCGGGAUAAGCCUGGGAAACUGGGUCUAAUACCGGAUAGGACUCCUGGCUUCAUGGUUGGGGGUGGAAAGCUUGUGCGGUGUGGGAUGGGCCCGCGGCCUAUCAGCUUGUUGGUGGGGUAAUGGCCUACCAAGGCGACGACGGGUAGCCGGCCUGAGAGGGUGACCGGUCACACUGGGACUGAGAUACGGCCCAGACUCCUACGGGAGGCAACAGUGGGGAAUAUUGCACAAUGGGCGCAAGCCUGAUGCAGCGACGCCGCGUGAGGGAUGACGGCCUUCGGGUUGUAAACCUCUUUCAGCUAUGACGAAGCGCAAGUGACGGUAGUAGCAGAAGAAGGACCGGCCAACUACGUGCCAGCAGCCGCCGUAA
rnacentral:rRNA from 1 species